rnacentral:rRNA from 1 species
UACGAAGGGUGCAAGCGUUAAUCGGAAUUACUGGGCGUAAAGCGUGCGUAGGCGGUUUCUUAAGUCUGCUGUGAAAUCCCCGGGCUCAACCUGGGAAUGGCAGUGGAUACUGGGAGGCUAGAGUGUGUCAGAGGAUGGUGGAAUUCCCGGUGUAGCGGUGAAAUGCGUAGAGAUCGGGAGGAACAUCAGUGGCGAAGGCGAUCAUCUGGGAUUAACCUGACGCUGAGGAGCGAAAGCCAGGGGAGCAAACGGG